GAUGAACGCUAGCGGCAGGCCUAACACAUGCAAGUCGAGGGGCAGCACAGGUAGCAAUACUGGGUGGCGACCGGCGGAUGGGUGCGUAACGCGUAUGCAACCUACCAUUGAUUGGGGCAUAGCCCGAAGAAAUUCGGAUUAAUACUCCAUAAUAUUCAUCAAAGGCAUCUUUUAUGAAUUAAAGCUUUUGCGAUCAAUGAUGGGCAUGCGUGACAUUAGUUAGUUGGUGAGGUAACGGCUCACCAAAACGAUGAUGUCUAGGGGUUCUGAAAGGAUUAUCCCCCACACUGGUACUGAGACACGGACCAGACUCCUACGGGAGGCAGCAGUGAGGAAUAUUGGUCAAUGGACGCAAGUCUGAACCAGCCAUGCCGCGUGCAGGAUGACGGCCCUAUGGGUUGUAAACUGCUUUUCCACGGGAAGAACCCUCCGACGUGUCGGAGACUGACGGUACCGUGGGAAUAAGCAACGGCUAACUCCGUGCC
rnacentral:rRNA from 1 species